GGUUGCGAUCAUACCAGCACUAAUGCACCGGAUCCCAUCAGAACUCCGCAGUUAAGCGUGCUUGGGCGAGAGUAGUACUAGGAAGGUGACCCCCCUGGGAAGUCCUCGUGUUGCAACCC
rnacentral:rRNA from 1 species